CACAAAUUAAAGUCAUCUAGAUGGAACAUUCACCCAAAGGACUGAGAGGCGUGAUCGGCCCAAAGGGAUCAGAAAGAUAAGACUGAUAUAAAGCCUAGUGCAAGAACAAAUUUGCACCCCGGGGACAGUCAAUUAAAACACUCCAUUUAUUAUCUCACGUGUUUAUGUCCUCGAAAUGAAACUACACCCACUGAAACACGUUUUGAUGAUGAAUGUUCCGGCUAGAUGUUUGAGUUUAUGAAUAAAAUGUAACUUUUGUCAUUAUCACUAGAAUAUAGAUUACAAAUUGUAAACAUUGAUCUAUCUGCAUAUUAUUAUAUGCACCUACAUGAUCUAAGAUUAUUACCUAUGGUGCCAUAUCAUAGUUUUUAACUGAGUCAUGUGACCCAUGGCUUCCUCUAUUUUUCAGAAUAGCCUAUCUAGUAUAAUAUAUAAAAUAUAUUUGUAGUAGGUAAUAAGUAGUGUUACAGUGCAUGGUUUUCAUGAUGUGUAGUGUUUGUAAGUUAUAACUUGUACAAAGUCGUACUAAACUACUAAUACCUUCAGUAGUUUCGUAUAAAUAGUAAAAAUAGUGCAAGGUUAGGUAGUAUAGUAUAGUACGGCUACACUCGCAAUGAGAGCUCACUAAUUGAUGCUAAUUAAUCAUCAUAACUCCUAUACAUUAAAUUAUCACUUAUUACUAUCCAAGGCUGCAUUCGAAAAACUCAGGGUAGAGUAGAAUACCCAUAUUAUCAAUAACUAUUUGAGUUAAUGUUACGGUUUAAAAUUAGGUUAUUAUAAUAACCUUGUUACUAUCUAGUAUCCACUACAGGCAUUAGGAUUCUUAUAUAAUGAUAUUUGUUCAUUGUUAUUUAUACAAUGUUAUUAUUUAAAAAUACAUAAUCUAAUUGUCUACUCAAAUGUAUAAUGUAAACUAUAAACAGUAGAAUAUUAUAGUGUCUUGAUUUCAGUUUUUGAAAGCUAAUAUUUACAUUAUUACUUACCCUUUCUUCCUUAUUCCUUUUCAAGAAAUACCAACCUAGUAUCUACAUGCUAUACA